rnacentral:rRNA from 1 species
ACGAAACCUGAACGGCGCAAUGAAAGUGAAGGCCGACCGUCUCGCUUCCCCUUCUCUCUCUCGUGGAGGUUGGGGUUGGCAGCGGUGAGCCAAGGCGGGAUCCGAGAAACACAGCCGGGGUGUACAGAAAAUUCGACCCGUGCGCCGUAUUCAUUCUCUUUCCGUUUCUUCCCUUCCUCACGGGGGUGGAAGAGCGGGGAGGUUUGGAGGCGUCGGGUGAGCUAACAAAAAUUACGCUCGCACCCCGGUCGGCGCACCGCCGGCCCGUCUCCAUGCCGCAACGUCGGUGAGGCGGAGCCAGAGCGUACACGUUGGGACCCGAAAGAUGGUGAACUAUGCUUGGGCAGGACGAANCCAGAGGAAACUCUGGUGGAGGUCCGUAGCGAUUCUGACGUGCAAAUCGAUCGUCGGACCUGAGUAUAGGGGCGAAAGACUAAUCGAACCGUCUAGUAGCUGGUUCCCUCCGAAGUUUCCCUCAGGAUAGCUGGCGCUCGGUGAGGAACGCANUCUCAUCCGGUAAAGCGAAUGAUUAGAGGCCUUGGGGCCGAAACGACCUCAACCUAUUCUCAAACUUUCAAUGGGUGAGAAGUCCGGCAUGCUCGACUGAAGCCCGGACGGCAUCCUCAAAAAUUGAAAAAAAAAGAGGUGCAAAAAUAUGAAAAAAUUGGCAUAAAAUGGAGGCAGAGGCGGUACUUGUAUCGUGCUCACCUUCGAUAAACAAAUUGCCAAGACAAAACGGAUGCGAGUGCCCAGUGGGCCAAUUUU